rnacentral:rRNA from 1 species
CAUCUAAGCACGAAACUUGCCCCGAGAUGAGUUCUCCCUGAGACUUAAAGUCUCCUGAAGGAACGUUGAAGACGACGACGUUGAUAGGCCGGGUGUGUAAGCGCAGCGAUGCGUUGAGCUAACCGGUACUAAUGAACCGUGAGGCUUAACCUUACAACGCCGAAG